CUAUGCGCCUUGCCAGCCCGCUCAGAACUCAAGAAUGACGGGGCCGCACAGCGGAGGAGCAUGUGGUUUAAUUCGAUGAUACGCGAGGAACCUUACCUGGGACUUAAAUGCUUAAUGACGUACUGGGAAACUGGUAUUUCUUCGGACAUUUUGCAAGGUGCUGCAUGGUUGUCGUCAGCUCGUGCCGUGAGGUGUCGGGUUAAGUCCCAUAACGAGCGCAACCCCUAUUGUUAGUUGCCAUCAGGUCAUGCUGGGGACUCUAACAAAACUGCCCGCGUAAGCGUGGAGGAAGGUGGGGAUGACGUCAAAUCAGCACGGCCCUUACGUCCAGGGCUACACACGUGCUACAAUGGCCGGUACAGAGGGCAGCCACUUGGUGACAAGGAGCAAAUCUCAAAAGCCGGUCUCAGUUCGGAUCGGAGUCUGCAACUCGACUCCGUGAAGUUGGAUUCGCUAGUAAUCGUAGAUCAGCAAUGCUACGGUGAAUACGUUCCCGGGCCUU
rnacentral:rRNA from 1 species